rnacentral:lncRNA from 1 species
CUAAAUCUUCAUAUUCAAUCCACAAACCUGUCUCUGUUCUCUUCUCCUGUCUUAGUCGAUAUCGUAGUUCAUUCGUUCCGGUUGUUCAAACCCUAGACUGUACUCGGUAUAGGGUGUUAAUUAGCAAGGGUUGUGGGUUUUUUAGUUGUUUUCCCCUCUCUCUGUUUAUGAUGUGGUGCUCCAGGUUUCAAGUUUAGCAACGGAAUCCAUGAACGAGAAACUACGGAAGAUAUACCGUGAUGAGAUUACCGAGUUUGGCAACAGACCGACUAUCUAUCGCGUCUUCGCAUGAUGUCCGAGUGAAAAUCCAAUGUCCUUCUCUCUCUGUCAUUGAUGACCUCCUUGGUAUUGUUUUAGUUAUAUUCUUUGUUCAAAGAGUUCUAACACUUUUUCAAAAAGAAUACUGAGGUUGUCAAUAAGGCAGCUCAAUACAAUAUUAGUUUAGAAAAAUCCAUACUUGAAAUUGAUUUUUGUAGUGCCUCUCGAUUGAAAAUUGUUAGAUUGUUCGAACUUCACUUGUGAAAUGAAGUAGAUUGUUUGGGGUAAAGGUAAGGUAAAAUACGAUCACUUUGUUGUGUUAUUGCUAAUCAUAGGGUGUGGGGUUUCAUCUAUUGUUAUUUGAUGUUCGUUUUUUUGUCCCAUAUAAUGUGGUAUAGUAGUUAAAGUAUUGUGUUAAUGUGGACAUUAUGCAAGUGUUAUUGAACCUUAUGUGAUUACUUUGAAAGGUUAGUCAGAAAUGAAGGAAUUUCCGUCAUUUUUAGCAAAUUUCCGUUGAUUUUUUUUUUUUAAAUAACGGAAAAUAUUAGAUAUAAAUGACGAAUUUUCCUUCAUUUUUUUAAAAAUGAGAGAAUUUUCGUCAUUUCGAUGUAUUUUAUAUUUUUCAAAAAUU